rnacentral:lncRNA from 10 species
AAAAAACCCUAGAAUACUACACCCAGCAAAAUUAUCCUUCCAAAGUGAAGAAGAAAUAAAUAUUUUCUCAGGCAAGCAAAAACUUGGGAAAUUCAUUGCCAGCAAACUGGUCCUCCAUGAAAUAUGAAAAGAAGUUCUUAGGGAGAAGGAAAAUUAUAAUAAUCAAAACCUCAGCUCUACAUAAAGAAAGGAAAGGAGCCAGAAAAGGAAUAAAUUAAGUCAUUCAAGCUUGCUGCCACCCACCCCACCCCACCUCAACCAUCAGCAAAGCCCACCAGGAAAAUUGCCAAGAGAGACACUCAUCAGCUCUUCAGUGAGAAUUUUGCCAUGCUUCUGCCUUUGGUAACUCCAGAUUCUUCCAGACAAAGGUUGACUCCAUCACUAAGGCAUGUUUUAUGCCAUCCAGUUUAACUUUGCAGGACCUACUUCUCAAGCCAAGGAAUUGCAAGACCACAUUAUGUAGCAGCUUGAGUUAGAGUCUAAAAGGAGAGCCAGUUGCACCCCAGGAUUACCAUGAUUUUUUCCUUUUUCUUUUCUUUUGAGGUGGGCAUGAGAUACCACGGUCUGGCUCUGAACACAAUCUCUGGCAGCUGCUUAUGAUUCUCUCAACACUAAUGAUGUGAUCAAGUCUUCGAGUGAAUUUUGGAGCUGAAGGGAGAGACAAAAAGAAAAUUUCAUAAACCACCCCCAGAAUCUGUUCGCUGAAGCACCACACAUUUACAGUACCACCUUCGCGAACCAGUCUCUUAGAUCACUAGCGACCCCACGUGGCCAAUUUAAAAGAACAGUAAUUUUUCUCCCCCCCCGCAGAAAAGAAACUUAACGCUUCAAGGUUUUACUCCUAAGUCUUCGUAGAAUUUAAAAACUGAAAAGCUGUAAGGACCGUUAAUGUCACCUGACCCAACCACCUCAUUUUACAGGAAGCAGAGGUUGAGAGAGGUAAAAAGGGCCUCGAAAGGUCACACAGAAUGUUAAGGUCAAGUUAGGAAGCAAUACAAGAAAUGAUUCUAAGAGAUUCUAUGCUACUGGAUUUUAAUUUCUUAAUCGAAGAAAGGAAAAGAAGGCUUUUGUUCCCCAGACCAGAAAAUAAAUACUGCUAUUACAGAAGAAUCACUGUAAUAAGACUGCAUGUUUUAAAGGAUCCCAAGUUCCAAUAGGUAUGUAGGCAAUACAUAUAUUUCUUUCCUCUUCUACGCCUAAAACUUACCAGAGUACAUUAAAUAGAGUCACGGCAAGAAUGAGGCCAGCAUGGACAAGAGGGAGGAGUCGGCAUUUGGCAAAUGUGAAUUAGAUGCUCAUUCCCAAAGCCUA